CGUGCCGGUGCGGCAGUUGGAGAAGGAGCGAUUUCCUUCUUAUGUGCGCCGGCACUCU
ensembl:miRNA ipu-mir-7570 ipu-mir-7570